AUACUUACCUGGCAGGGGAGAUGCCAUGAUCACGAAGGUGUUUUCCCAGGGCGAGGCUCACCCAUUGCACUCUGGAUGUGCUGACCCCUGCGAUUUCCCCAAAUGUGGGAAACGCGACUGCAUAAUUUGUGGUUGUGGGGGACUGCGUUUGCGCUGUCUCCUG
rnacentral:snRNA from 1 species